GUUGCUGCCAAACAGAAGUGCAAACAAGCAUGCUGUGCAAACCUCCCUAACAAGUGCAGCUUGCAGCGCUGCCCUUCAACCAGCCAACUCUUCACAUCUUAGCUCUUCUGGACUGGACCAUGUUGAAAUCCACAAAAAACUAAACAUGGCAAAGGAUACAUUCCAAGCAUGUGGUAGAGGGGGCACGUCAUGGUCAGCCAUGAUUAAGGAUUUAGCCGUGGCUGUUUUUGGAAGGAGCAUGUUAGCUACCCACAGCCUUUCUGGAAAAAUUGGAAAUGCCAACAAGGAAUCACAAGCCAAGCCCCCUCUGGACCCCACAAAAGUGGAACUUAUUAUAGACACUGUUUCGAAGAAAUUUCCAGAAACUCCACGAAAGUUUCUUCGGGCUGCUUUACGGGAAAAAUUGAAUGAUGAACAUAAACUCCUUAGCAGGCAUCAUAAGAAGGACACUGUUACGCUGCAACACUGAGUGGUGAAGCACAUAAGAGAGUCCAGAGUUAUUGGUUUCUGAAGAAUGAUGGGCCACGUUCUGUUCAGAGUGUUCAUUUUCGUCACACUUAUCUCAUUUUAUCUUUAAGCUCUUUUGACUAAUAAAUAAUUCACAAUUAA